GGAGGGUGCAAGCGUUGUUCGGAAUUAUUGGGCGUAAAGAGCGUGUAGGCGGUCCGGUAAGUCAGAUGUGAAAGCCCUGGGCUCAACCCAGGAAGUGCAUUUGAAACUACCAGACUCGAGUACGGGAGAGGAGGGGGAAUUCCCGGUGUAGAGGUGAAAUUCGUAGAUAUCGGGAGGAAUACCAGUGGCGAAGGCGCCCUCUGGACCGAUACUGACGCUGAGACGCGAAAGCGUGGGGAGCAAACAGGAUUAGAUACCCUGGUAGUCCACGCCGUAAACGAUGAGCACUAGGUGUAGCGGGUAUUGACCCCCCUGCUGUGCCCGUAGCUAACGCAUUAAGUGCUCCGCCUGGGGACUACGGUCGCAAGACUA
rnacentral:rRNA from 1 species